GACGAACGCUGGCGGCGUGCUUAACACAUGCAAGUCGAGCGAUGAACCUUUCAUGAAUUUUUGGAAUGAUUGGAAGAGGAUUAGCGGCGGACGGGUGAGUAACGCGUGAGCAACCUGCCUUAAACAACGGGAUAGCCUCGGGAAACCGGGAUUAAUACCGUAUGAGACCCCGCCUUCACAUGAAGAAGAGGUUAAAGAUUUAUCGGUUUAAGAUGGGCUCGCGUCUGAUUAGCUAGUUGGUGAGAUAAAAGCCCACCAAGGCAACGAUCAGUAACCGGCUUGAGAGAGUGAACGGUCACAUGGGAACUGAGACACGGUCCAAACUCCUACGGGAGGCAGCAGUGGGGAAUAUUGCACAAUGGGGGAAACCCUGAUGCAGCGACGCCGCGUGAGCGAUGAAGGAAUUCGUUUCGUAAAGCUCUGUCCAAGGGGAAGAUAAUGACAGUACCCUUGGAGGAAGCCCCGGCUAAAUACGUGCCAGCCGCCGCAGUAA
rnacentral:rRNA from 1 species